rnacentral:rRNA from 1 species
AACCGGCGAACGGUGCGUAACACGUGAACAACCUGCCCUCGUGUGGGGAUAGCCAUGCUAACGCGUGGGUAAUACCGCAUACGUUCCUCUGGGGAGUCCCUGGGGAGGAAAGCUCCGGCGCACGGGGAGGGUUCGCGGCCUAUCAGCUAGUUGGCGGGGUAAUGGCCCACCAAGGCGACGACGGGUAGCUGGUCUGAGAGGAUGGCCAGCCACAUUGGGACUGAGAGACGGCCCAG